GCUUACCUAUUAGGCCUGGUGGCCCUAUAGGUCCAGGCAAUCCAUCUGGUCCAUAUCCUGGUAAUCCGUCUGGUCCAGGAUCUCCCCUCAGUCCUGCAGAGAUCCAAAAGAAGCCCAUAUGAACCUGGCACUGAUGGCCCAGGGAAACCAGGCUCUCCAUGGGGACCAGAAUGGCCUGACCCUGGAAAUCCUUGACCUCCCUUCUCACCAGGAAAUCCAUUACUCCCUGGGAGGCAGAUAAAGAAAUAUAACAGAAGUUGAUGAGCAGAAAAAUAGUGCUCCUGGUGCUCCUGGGGAGCCUGGAACUCCUGGAUAACCUUGUUUUUUCCAUUGCAUCCUGGGGCACCUGGAGGGCCUGGAAGUCCUUGUAAACCUGGGAUACCCUGUAAGA